GUCUGGCUGAAAGUUGAGGUUAUGUUGGUUGGUGAUGUUUUUCAGGAGAUUGAAGAAUCUUAUAUAAGUGUAAGCAUCUCGCUGUCGAAGCAAAGAAUACACCAAUGGAAUCAUGGCUGUGCCAACAAAUACAUGAAAGAGUGCUGAUCUCUUACUUUCGAAUGUAGGCAGUUUUGGGGCAGUCUCCAGGGUCUGGGCAUCCUUACUUUCGAAUGUAGGCAGUUUUGGGGCAGUCUCAAGGGUCUGGGCAUCCCAUGGUGCAUCUCUGAGUUUUGUUAUUUAUUCGUCAUAAAUUGA
rnacentral:lncRNA from 1 species